GUGAAGGGCCUGCAAAGAGGGCACCAAGAGGAGGAAUAAACAAACAGUGAACGGGAGAGGAACUGGAGAUACAAAAAUGAAACUGAUCCCGAGCAGGUCAUAAACAAAGCAGUACCCACUAUAAAUAAAGAGUAAAAUUUACCAUAAACAGAAAGUGAAAUGAGCUAUGAACAGAGGGAUCUGGAGCAGUUAAAAACAUGAUCACAAAUCUCUUCCCCCUCCGCUGAGUAGAAGGAAGGGGAUCUGGGAGCACCUGGCCCCAAGGAAAAGGAGCCCUGGGAAGUGGGACACAAGGGACAAGAGCUCUCGGUUUUCUGAAGGGACACCACAUAGGCAUAUAGUUGAUGGUAUCUCCAAACAGCAAGAUGGAUGGAGUCCCAGGAAAUGGCCCAGAAGGAAAGAUUCAAGGAGCUGGGACCCACUCCAAACCUCAGGAAAGAGAACCUUGAGUGGGGUGAGAGGUGUGGAAAGGAGAGCACAGAAAAGGAAUCCCCAGCCACCCCAGCAAGACAAAAAUCCAGAAUUCUGGAGCUGACAGGAUUCCAAAUCCAAAGUGUGGCUGUGAGGGUGAGGGAAGAAAUGGGAACUACAAAACUUCUCAAGCCUUGCUAGCAUCAGGAGGAAGUCCAGAUGAAGCCAGACCUCAGAGCCAUAACCUGCUCCACCACUGCUCCCCCGACACACAAUUACUAUGCAUAGUGCACAGCUGGGUGAUUAAUGACCUGAUUAAUAAUUACUCAGGCUAAUAAAAUAAUUAAUUAAUUUGGCAAGCCAUUUUUUAUCUGUUCAUCCUCAGACUGGAACUCUGCAACUAGGAGUUUGGGAAUCUCCCCUCCAGGCUCUUUCAGAAAUGUGAUCAUUAAUAUGGGGAGGGAAGGGCAGAGGAUGACACUCCUUCACCCUGAGACCCUCCCAAAGUGGAGAGGAAAGGGGCCCAGGGCUCUCUGAGAAUGAAGACUUGGGAAGGACUGAAACAAACCGACCAGGUAACCUCAAACCCAGGAAGGAAGCUGACCAGGGAGGCAGAGGAUUGGGCUGGGGUAGGGGAGAUAGAGAGCACCACAAGCAACUUAGGCUAGGGGUCUGAGCUGCCGAGUACCCAGGUUUUGGGGAAUUCUUGGAUGUGUUCUCUCUAGCAAAUGAUUGAUGACGCUAUUUUCAACAAAUGGUCUUUAUCUCACCUCUUGUCUCCCAAAUUCAUGAUUUUCCCCCAAGCCCCAGGCUAGACAAGGGGGACCCAGUGAGUUCUGUAGUAGGGGUAGACCGAUUUGGGGAUGUAGCCCAGGAGUCAGUGGGGAGUCUCUGGACCUCUAUAGAGGGGAGAAGCCUUCCCCCAGCUGUUUCCAGGCUCUUGCAGUACUAAGUUCUGCAUCGGACUUAGAUUUGGAUCCCCAGAACCAGAGGAUCUGGAGUGUUCCCUCCCCACAGGAGGGAGGAAGAAGGAGGGUGGGGGAGAGGCAGAGGCCUGCCCGGAGAGUGAGGUGACUGAUCAGGCAGUCUUUAAACAGAUAAAGGCAGCCGUGCCAUGUUCCGGGCCCAGGGGCAGACAGGAGACACCCCUUCUCUGGAGGCAGGACCGUGUCUGGGACUAAGGCACCUGUCGGCCAUUAGCUAGGCUGACCUAUAUCGGGCUCUCAGUUAUCUGGGCUUGAGGUUAUCUGGUCAGCUUGUUUCAGUCCUUCCCAAGUCUUCAUUCUCAGAGAGCCCUCAGGCCCUUCCACUCCACCUUGGGAGGGUCUCAGGGUGAAGGAGUACCAAUCCCAGCCUUUCCCUCCCCCCUCAGACCUGGCCCUAGAGAACUCUAGUGCUAGAGGGAAAACGGACUUGUAAAUAGAGAACACCUCAGGAUA